GGCUCGGGAGGCCGAGCGGCACGGCGCGGUCGCUCUCAUCGGCGGGCCGUCCGGGGGCGGCGGCCCGGUGUUCGCCGCAUCGCCGUCCCU
rnacentral:tRNA from 1 species